rnacentral:rRNA from 1 species
GGGGAGUAUGGUCGCAAGACCGAAACUCAAAGGAAUUGACGGGGGCCUGCACAAGCGGUGGAGCAUGUGGUUUAAUUUGAUACAACGUGCAAAACCUUACCAGGCCUUGACAUAUGAACAACAAAACCUGUCCUUAACAGGAUGGUACUGACUUUCAUACAGGUGCUGCAUGGCUGUCGUCAGCUCGUGUCAUGAGAUGUUUGGUCAUGUCCUAUAACGAGCGAAACCCUCGUUUCUUGUUGCUGAGACAUGCGCCUAAGGAGAAAUUGCCACCGAGUGACGUGCCAGCGCUACUGCUUGAUUGAGUGCCAACACGUAGCUGUGCUUUCAGCAAGAAUUUCACCAUUGGGAGCAGGUGCCUUCCGAAGCACUUUCACGUGUGAAACAAAGUCGUCUUGCCCAAGACCCACGGAGACCUACCUAUAGUGACGUCAAAGUACCAGUGAGCAUGGAGGUUCGGUUGAAAUUGGUUACGACGAUGUCGACUUGGUGGCGGAGGAAGACUCGUCAUGAAGGCCAGAAAAUGGUGUGGAACGUAGUGGUAAUACUACGCACCCCGCUCCGAAUCAAAGAAAAAAGUGCGUGCCGCACUCAAGAGGGACUGCCAGUGAGAUACUGGAGGAAGGUGGGGAUGACGUCAAGUCUGCAUGGCUCUUAUGGGCUGGGCCACACACGUGCUACAAUGGCAAUGAUAGUGGGAAGCAAGGCUGUAAGGCGGAGCGAAUCCAGAAAGAUUGCCUCAGUUCGGAUUGUUCUCUGCAACUCGGGAACAUGAAGUUGAAAUUGCUAGUAAUCGCGGAUCAGCAUGCCGCGGUGAAUAUGUACCCGGGCCCUACACACACCGCCCAUCACAUCCUGGGAAUUGGUUUCGCCCGAAGCAUCGGACCAAUGAGCACCCAUGACUUCUGUGUACCACUAGUGCCACAAAGGCCUUUGGUGGUCUUAUUGGCACGAUGGGGUCUUCGACUGGGGUGAAGUCGUAACAAGGUAGCCGUAGGGGAACCUGUGGCUG